UUAUUUAAUAAUAGAUGUUCAUAGA
rnacentral:piRNA from 1 species